ACAUAAUCAUAAACUGCCCCCUGGUGGCGAAUAUGUGUUUCGCUUCAUCCUUGCAUUACGGUGGAGUGGGCGGAGCCUCGUAAAUGACGGUUAUUUUUUUCAAACGAGGAAGUGAAGUCAAGUCCGCCAUUUCAUCUUCUUCUUUAUAUCGGAAAAGAAAGGAAUCAUGCAAGGAUGCAAGCUGAAGGAAAGGACAACUCUCACAUCAGUGCAUUACUAAUUGUUUGACUUCAUCAUCAAGCACACCAGCUCAGAUUGUGAUGGACCUGGAAUGCGACACCAGUUACUCCUAAGUCAAGAACCAAAUAAAGCACAGAUGUGGAGGAAUCUGCAGCUAAACUAACUGGAGGAAAGGAACCUUUAGUGUGGGUGAACAUACUACCUUGAUGUCCAACAAAGGCUGCACAAGAGCUCAU